ensembl:lncRNA
AUGUUGUUCCCCUCUUUACAUCUUCGCAGGCCACGUGUGAGGAAAACUGCGGUGUUCCAGGGGUUGUGUGUGAAAUCUGGUCGACAGCCAGGCGGCUCUGUGCGCAGCUCCGCUAUCAGAUGCAGCCAACACAACAUUGUUUUCAUUGUGAACAGCGGCAGUAAUGGACUGUGGGACCCACCGAGGACAAAACAAUUCCCCCAAGGCCCGCUGCGCUGCUACGCUUCCCAGUCUGAGUGUCACGGUUAAAAGGGCCGAGUGGAGAAAAUAAAACAGCAACUCUGCCGCCAACGGUGUGGCGAGCAGGAGAAACGGAAGCGGCGACAUCCAUGUUUGGUUUAUUGUUUUAAUCAGUCUUUGACACAGUUGAAUAGAUCACUUACAGAAUCUAGAUAUAUAUAUCUCUCAGAAAAAAAAAAUACUGUGGUGUUGUUUUUCUUUUGAAAGGAGCAUGGUGCCCCCCUGUACAAUAUAUACACAUUACAUUUACACUCGCAUACGCAGUCACAAAAGUGCCACAUCAGAAAGUGGACUCAUCCGGACCCUUGAGGUGUUCUGCCGUUCAAACAGCCAGAAUUCUCCGGCAUACAUUCGAAAACUCGAGAACUUUGAAGGGGUGUUUUCACACUCGGGCCUGUUUCGGCAAUCGGACUCAACUCUGUGAUUAUCACUCCAAUUUCCUUGCAAUGAUGUGGAGAGCACGGCCCCUCUGAAACAACAAACCAAACCCAGACAAGACACGCAGGCAGACAGAGCUCUCGUCAGAGUUGGGUGUGAUUUGAAACCCUCUCUGAUCAAGCUCCGUUUGCCCGUUGUGAAUAUCGUGCAGUCAGUCAAUUUUUGCGGUGGCUGCUAAUUAUUACCUCAACCACGAGGUAUUUAUCUGAGGUCACUUUGCGAGAUAUUUCAAAAAACGGUGUGGUGGCUUUUAGUGGAAUUUGGUGAAAAGUUAGAGCAUACAUUAAAAAACUGGUUAGAAUCGGAAGUUGAAAGCCAGGCUAUCUUGACAUACCUGCGUUCAUUCUUAAGGGUUUGGUGUCAUUGUGUCCAAAUUUCCCUAAAGGUGGCGCUGCAGCGACACGGUGCAGUUAAAUGGUCCUAACUUUAAAUUCAGCUUUUCUCCAAAAAUCACCACGAUUGUCACUCACUGUCUGUCGUUUGACUCAGACUGAAACUCCCGAAACCUAUUAAACCUCUUCUUCAUCAAAAUGACACCUUUUUUUGAAAGUCUCCAGUGUGACGUGUUUUCGUGACAUUACAGUAAGACUGAGUUUUUUUAUCCGUGUUUCCGCCAUAAAAAUACCAAUGGAAAACAUGCUCGUGUCAAAUAAUGAUCAAAUAGGAAACAUUCUGUUCGCUAUAAUUCAAGUGUUACAUUUGGACCUAUUGGUUAAAUAAUAGACCAACUGAAGGAGUGAUGCUUGAAUAUGGACCGUUACACGUGUCCUACUGUUUGACUCCCAACCUUCAAUGAACAGUAAGCAUUUGGACUUUGAACUGAGUUCAAAUAAUGAUUAACUGUGUCACAAUACUAGAUUUUUUUCUUUUAAAUGGGGCAAUAGAUACUGUAGCGCAAAAUGUAAACACAGCUUCAGUGGAAAACAAACACUUCCUGCUGACUGAUUAUGAAUACACGUAAAUGUUGUCGGGGCUAUGGAGCAGAAAAUAAAUUAAUGGGACUGUAGCAGAAUCCUAGAGACAAAAUAUUCCUGGCAUGUGGGAUGUUUGAAAAAAAUAAAUAGUAUGUGUGCAUGUGCUUAUACAGUAUAAUCUUAAUGAUAACUUCAUAUAUGUAUGACGAGCAUUAAAUCACUGUCCAAACCUUGACAUUUCUACAGCCAAAGCCAAGCACAGUUGUUUACCCGAAGACGUCAAUUUCAAAGUUAUUUACCGUUUGUCGUUGUCUGUGAGUGGGAGUUACAGUAACGGUAACACCUGGCUGGUGUGUCUGUUCACAGGAUGAUUGAUAAACUGGCCCCUUUUCAUUCUGAAAACAAAUUGAAAAUACAACCAGAUUGAUGCAGUGAUGCACAGACCUCAGGCAAGAAACAUAACUGGGGGUUAAUCUCUAUUAAGUGUUGUCCUUUCACUUAGAGGCCAAGUAGCGUGGCCAAUAACCUGCACCUUGCAUCGACGCAGCUGAGCAGCAUUACAGUUCAAACUCUCCCCCCGCGUCAAACGCGCUGUUUGCAGGUGCUUGGCAGGCGAGUCUUUCACACUUUAGUUUUUAUGGAUGGUGACCCAGUCCGGCUGCAUAUUUCCCAAAACAUCCCAACCAAUCGUUAAGAGUGCGCGGCAUUCAGGGAAUGCACAUUCCGCCUCCUCGGGGUCCCCACUGACCCCGCGUGACACUCGCAACAUGCAUGACUCGCGCGGAGCCAAAACACGCACUCAGCGAAUCGCCAAGUGAGCCGAGGCCGUGCGAGGCGGUUUUGAAGUGCGUGUGGUUCAAACAGGUGGUGUGAUUUCAGCAGAGAUCACGAGAGGUAUACCGGUUACG